GUGAACCUGCGGAAGGAUCAUUACCGAGUGUAGGGUUCCUAGCGAGCCCAACCUCCCACCCGUGUUUACUGUACCUUAGUUGCUUCGGCGGGCCCGCCAUUCAUGGCCGCCGGGGGCUCUCAGCCCCGGGCCCGCGCCCGCCGGAGACACCACGAACUCUGUCUGAUCUAGUGAAGUCUGAGUUGAUUGUAUCGCAAUCAGUUAAAACUUUCAACAAUGGAUCUCUUGGUUCCGGCAUCGAUGAAGAACGCAGCGAAAUGCGAUAACUAGUGUGAAUUGCAGAAUUCCGUGAAUCAUCGAGUCUUUGAACGCACAUUGCGCCCCCUGGUAUUCCGGGGGGCAUGCCUGUCCGAGCGUCAUUGCUGCCCAUCAAGCACGGCUUGUGUGUUGGGUCGUCGUCCCCUCUCCGGGGGGGACGGGCCCCAAAGGCAGCGGCGGCACCGCGUCCGAUCCUCGAGCGUAUGGGGCUUUGUCACCCGCUCUGUAGGCCCGGCCGGCGCUUGCCGAACGCAAAUCAAUCUUUUUCCAGGUUGACCUCGGAUCAGGUAGGGAUACCCGCUGAAC
rnacentral:rRNA from 1 species